rnacentral:tRNA from 1 species
GGCCCGGUGGCUCCGUCGGUUAGAGCACCGCCCUGUCACGGCGGGGGUCAUGGGUUCGAGUCCCAUUCGGGUCG